rnacentral:rRNA from 1 species
ACGCUGGCGGCAGGCCUAACACAUGCAAGUCGAGCGGUAGAGAGAAGCUUGCUUCUCUUGAGAGCGGCGGACGGGUGAGUAAUGCCUAGGAAUCUGCCUGGUAGUGGGGGAUAACGUUCGGAAACGGACGCUAAUACCGCAUACGUCCUACGGGAGAAAGCAGGGGACCUUCGGGCCUUGCGCUAUCAGAUGAGCCUAGGUCGGAUUAGCUAGUUGGUGAGGUAAUGGCUCACCAAGGCGACGAUCCGUAACUGGUCUGAGAGGAUGAUCAGUCACACUGGAACUGAGACACGGUCCAGACUCCUGCGGGAGGCAGCAGUGGGGAAUAUUGGACAAUGGGCGAAAGCCUGAUCCAGCCAUGCCGCGUGUGUGAAGAAGGUCUUCGGAUUGUAAAGCACUUUAAGUUGGGAGGAAGGGUUGUAGAUUAAUACUCUGCAAUUUUGACGUUACCGACAGAAUAAGCACCGGCUAACUCUGUGCCAGCAGCCGCGGUAAUACAGAGGGUGCAAGCGUUAAUCGGAAUUACUGGGCGUAAAGCGCGCGUAGGUGGUUUGUUAAGUUGGAUGUGAAAUCCCCGGGCUCAACCUGGGAACUGCAUUCAAAACUGGCUGACUAGAGUAUGGUAGAGGGUGGUGGAAUUUCCUGUGUAGCGGUGAAAUGCGUAGAUAUAGGAAGGAACACCAGUGGCGAAGGCGACCACCUGGACUAAUACUGACACUGAGGUGCGAAAGCGUGGGGAGCAAAC